rnacentral:rRNA from 2 species
CUUCUAUGACGUUAGCGGCGGACGGGUGAGUAACACGUGGGCAACCUGCCUGUAAGACUGGGAUAACUCCGGGAAACCGGAGCUAAUACCGGAUAACAUUUUCUCUUGCAUAAGAGAAAAUUGAAAGAUGGUUUCGGCUAUCACUUACAGAUGGGCCCGCGGUGCAUUAGCUAGUUGGUGAGGUAACGGCUCACCAAGGCAACGAUGCAUAGCCGACCUGAGAGGGUGAUCGGCCACACUGGGACUGAGACACGGCCCAGACUCCUACGGGAGGCAGCAGUAGGGAAUCUUCCGCAAUGGACGAAAGUCUGACGGAGCAACGCCGCGUGAGUGAUGAAGGCUUUCGGGUCGUAAAACUCUGUUGUUAGGGAAGAACAAGUACAAGAGUAACUGCUUGUACCUUGACGGUACCUAACCAGAAAGCCACGGCUAACUACGUGCCAGCAGCCGCGGUAAUACGUAGGUGGCAAGCGUUAUCCGGAAUUAUUGGGCGUAAAGCGCGCGCAGGCGGUUUCUUAAGUCUGAUGUGAAAGCCCACGGCUCAACCGUGGAGGGUCAUUGGAAACUGGGGAACUUGAGUGCAGAAGAGAAAAGCGGAAUUCCACGUGUAGCGGUGAAAUGCGUAGAGAUG